rnacentral:rRNA from 1 species
UACCAGACUCCUACGGGAGGCAGCAGUGGGGGAUAUUGCACAAUGGGGGAAACCCUGAUGCAGCGACGCCGCGUGGGCGAAGAAGUAUUUCGGUAUGUAAAGCCCUAUCAGCAGGGAAGAAGAAAUGACGGUACCUGAGUAAGAAGCACCGGCUAAAUACGUGCCAGCAGCCGCGGUAAUACGUAUGGUGCAAGCGUUAUCCGGAUUUACUGGGUGUAAAGGGAGCGCAGGCGGCACGGCAAGCCUGAUGUGAAAGCCCGCGGCCCAACCGCGGGACUGCAUUGGGAACUACCGGGCUGGAGUGCCGGAGAGGUAGGCGGAAUUCCUAGUGUAGCGGUGAAAUGCGUAGAUAUCACGCAGAACCCCGAUUGCGAAGGCAGCAUGCCGGCUUCCGACUGACGCUGAAGCACGAAAGCGUGGGGAUCGAACAGGAUUAGAUACCCUAGUAGAC